CCUGUUAUCGUCUAGUGGUUAGGACACCAGGUUUUGACUGCCUGAAUGUGUCCUGGUAACCUGGGUUCGACUCCCAGUAACAGGU
rfam:Puccinia graminis f. sp. tritici CRL 75-36-700-3 supercont2.9 genomic scaffold, whole genome shotgun sequence.